rnacentral:misc_RNA from 1 species
ACCGCCGUGUUGUCCUCAUCCUAAAAGAAAUCGCUAAGUGUUUGGAAAAGGGGAUAGAAGUGGAAAAUGUGAUAGUGGACGACUUCUUCUAAACCUGACAAUCAAUGUUGAUAUUAACGGAAUUCUUAAUACAGUUAAUUGGAUUCCGAGGGCCAGAAACAUACGGGUACAGCCUGUGCUGGUCGAGAUGCAAGUCCUAAAAAUAGUGCUUACGAAAUUAGUGUCGUUAACGGCCUCGUCACGUGACAAAGAGGUACUGAUUGAGUGCCUAAUGUUCAUAGAUUCUUGACUAUUGUACUGGUAACGGACCACUCAAGUCGUCCUGAACCUAUAUCAAAGAGGUGUGAACCAAAGUAAACCUCGCUUUGUAUAUGAUAGAUUUGUUGAUUAUUAAUCCAUCAGUUCACCGACAGGACUUUGUGAACUGACUGGAAUACAGGUAUUACGUGAGGAAGUUUACAAACUUUGGUCAUCGUCAUUCUUAACCACACGAUGGAGUGAUAUUGAAAACCUCUGUUUUUUGUUGUAAUUUAACUGUAUUAAUUUUUUCCCUCUAUAUCAUUGCAUAUUAUGUAACAAAAGAGUCGCCAUAUUGAGGAUAUAUCUGUCUUUGUAUACGCGGUGCUGGCGUUCAUUUGAUGAACUGCAAAAAUCAUGACUAUUUAGAUCCCAGGGAUCUGUUACAUUCAUAGGGUAAUAGGAUUGGCGUUCCUGGAUUCACGACCCCGUAAAUCAAUUCAAUAGUGUUUCUUUGACGCAUGGUAAUAGCAAACGAGAUUAAUGAAGAUUGCAAGAACAAAUUGUUUUUAAUUUAUUUUCUUCGAUUUUCACAAUGACCCUUAUGUAAAACAUGGUUGUUUCGCAGUUUCAUGCGAACAAGAUUUUGGAAUGGGGGAUCCACCAUAACAUGACAUAUUAUUGAAUACCGGACUUUCUUGUCCGCCAAGGAAUACAUUCCUUUAUGUGAAUUCUAAUUGUUCUGGUUACAUUCCAAGCCGAAUGAUGCCUUAUUGUGUCAUAAUAUAUAACAGACGUCUGUGAAAUUAUCAUAUCACGGAGCGUGGUUGUGUGCUUUAUAGUUUAUGUUUUAGUCACGUGGUUUAAUUGAGGACAGUAUGAUGGGUGCACUAUUAUUUUUGAAGUUGUAUUGUCUCAUGGGAGUAAUCAUAAUUUAUAAGAGAACUUGAAAUAAAA